GAGACUGCGAAUGCUGACAUGAGUAACGAUAAAGCGGGUGAAAAGCCCGCUCGCCGGAAGUCCAAGGGUUCCUGCGCAACGCUAAUCGGCGCAGGGUUAGUCGGCCCCUAAGGUGAGGCUGAAGAGCGUAAUCGAUGGGAAACGGGUUAACAUUCCCGUACUUGUUGUAACUGCGAUGGAGAGACGGAGAAGGCUAGGCCAGCGCGGCGAUGGUUGUCCGCGUUUAAGGCGGUAGGCUGGUGACUUAGGUAAAUCCGGGUUGCUAAGGCCGAGAACUGAUGACGAGUGUCUCUUUGAGACGCGAAGUGGUUGAUGCCA
rnacentral:rRNA from 1 species